GUGAACGCACCGCUGGUGUUCGGGUUGUGAUGCCAAUUGCAUUGCCCGGUAGCUACGUGCGGAAUAGAUAAGUGCUGAAAGCAUCUAAGUACGAAACUAGCCUCGAGAUGAGUUUUCCCUGAUGAGAAUCAGUAAGGUCCGUUUGAGACUAAGACGUAGAUAGGUCAGGUGUGUAAGUGUAGUGAUACAUUGAGCUAACUGAUACUAAUGAACCGAGAGUCUUAACCUUACAAC
rnacentral:rRNA from 1 species